UACGGAGGGUGCAAGCGUUUAUCCGGAUUUACUGGGUUUAAAGGGUGUGUAGGCGGGCUUUUAAGUCAGUGGUGAAAUCUCCGGGCUCAACCUGGAAACUGCCAUUGAUACUAUUAGUCUUGAAUUUUGUUGAGGUAGGCGGAAUAAGUCAUGUAGCGGUGAAAUGCAUAGAUAUGACUUAGAACACCAAUUGCGAAGGCAGCUUGCUAAACAAAUAUUGACGCUGAGGCACGAAAGCGUGGGGAUCAAACAGG
rnacentral:rRNA from 1 species